rnacentral:rRNA from 1 species
UAGGGAAUCUUCCACAAUGGACGCAAGUCUGAUGGAGCAACGCCGCGUGAGUGAAGAAGGUCUUCGGAUCGUAAAACUACUGUUGUUAGAGAAGAACACGAGUGAGAGUAACUGUUCAUUCGAUGACGGUAUCUAACCAGCAAGUCACGGCUAACUACGUGCUAG